GACGAACGCUGGCGGCGUACUUAACACAUGCAAGUCGAACGGAAAGGCCCUGCUUUUGUGAGGUGCUCGAGUGGCGAACGGGUGAGUAACACGUGAGUAACCUGCCCUUGAUUUUGGGAUAACUUCAGGAAACUUGGGCUAAUACCGGAUAGGAGCUCCUGCUGCAUGGUGGGGGUUGGAAAGUUUCGGCGGUUGGGGAUGGACUCGCGGCUUAUCAGCUUGUUGGUGGGGUAGUGGCUUACCAAGGCUUUGACGGGUAGCCGGCCUGAGAGGGUGACCGGCCACAUUGGGACUGAGAUACGGCCCAGACUCCUACGGGAGGCAGCGGUGGGGAAUAGUGCACAAUGGGCGGAAGCCUGAUGCAGCAACGCCGCGUGCGGGAUGACGGCCUUCGGGUUGUAAACCGCUUUCGCCUGUGACGAAGCGUGAGUGACGGUAAUGGGUAAAGAAGCACCGGCUAACUACGUG
rnacentral:rRNA from 1 species